rnacentral:rRNA from 1 species
AGCCUGAUGCAGCGACGCCGCGUGAGGGAUGACGGCCUUCGGGUUGUAAACCUCUUUCAGCAGGGACGAAGCGCAAGUGACGGUACCUGCAGAAGAAGGACCGGCCAACUACGUGCCAGCAGCCGCGGUAAUACGUAGGGUCCGAGCGUUGUCCGGAAUUACUGGGCGUAAAGAGCUCGUAGGUGGUUUGUCGCGUUGUUCGUGAAAACUCACAGCUUAACUGUGGGCGUGCGGGCGAUACGGGCAGACUGGAGUACUGCAGGGGAGACUGGAAUUCCUGGUGUAGCGGUGGAAUGCGCAGAUAUCAGGAGGAACACCGGUGGCGAAGGCGGGUCUCUGGGCAGUAACUGACGCUGAGGAGCGAAAGCGUGGGGAGCGAACAGGAUUAGAUACCCUGGUAGUCCACGCCGUAAACGGUGGGUACUAGGUGUGGGUUUCCUUCCUUGGGAUCCGUGCCGUAGCUAACGCAUUAAGUACCCCGCCUGGGGAGUACGGCCGCAAGGCUAAAACUCAAAGGAAUU